GGAAUUUUGCGCAAUGGGCGAAAGCCUGACGCAGCAACGCCGCGUGAUCGCAGACGGCCUUCGGGUUGUAAAGAUCUGUCAGCAGGGACGAACAAUGACUGUACCUGCAGAGGAAGCACCGGCUAACUCCGUGCCAGCAGCCGCGGUAAUACGGGGGGUGCGAGCGUUGUCCGGAAUCAUUGGGCGUAAAGAGUUCGUAGGUGGUUUGUUAAGUUUGGUGUUAAAGGCGCAGGCUCAACUUGUGUAUGGCAUCGGAUACUGGCAGACUAGAAUGCGGUAGAGGUAAAGGGAAUUUCUGGUGUAGCGGUGAAAUGCUUAGAUAUCAGGAAGAACAUCGGUGGCGUAAGCGCUUUACUGGGCCGUAAUUGACACUGAGGAACGAAAGCCGGGGUAGCAAAUG
rnacentral:rRNA from 1 species